ACACACCAGCCAAAAAAAAUUAAUCGCUCUCCGAAAAGUGAAAAGACUCCUCUCGUCGCGGUACGGCCAUUCGAAGUCUGACGCCCUUGCGCUUAGGACGUGUACUUUUUUGUUCGGCAGCGGGUUCCUCGUUCCUCGAGAGAGUGUCCUAUCCAUGAAAAAGUUGGGGCUUUAGGACCGCACCGACUCUUGGCACGCCAGGUGCUGAAGAAUUGACCAGAGUGCGAGGAAUCCGGUGAAGAAGAAAGAUAAAACCGGAAGUGUGAGGUUCGAGAUUCUCGGUGGUCCAAACCUCCUCCUCAUCCCCCCCUCAGUUGUGGUGUGCUGGAUGGGAGGUGACCCGGUGUGAAUGGAUCGUACGGUUUUGGCAACGCAGGAAAAAGAGCCCGGUUCCUGAGAGUGAAGAAGCUACCUGCUGGCAGAACGCGCGAGAGAGAGAGAGCGCGUGGCAGCGGCGAGAGCGAGAUAGUUGUGGUGUUGUGUGAGGUGGCAAGGUGGUGGUGCAGUGAGUGUCCAGUGGAAUCCUGCGGCGGAAGUGGAAGUGGUAGUAGAGGAGGCGACCAGCAGCAGCAGCUAAGGCCGAUCGUGUACCUUAGCGUCACCGUAGUAGAACCCCGGGUCGUCGUCCAAGGUCCCCCCAAAACCCAUCAAAACGACAUUCACGUUGUCUGACCUUUCUGCGCGAUCGGAGUAGUGUCCCUGUCCGGGAGACUUGACCAAACGCCGCCAACAUGACGAAGGACAGAUUAGCAGCCCUACAGGCGGCACAAAGCGACGAUGAGGACAUGCCGGAAGAAGUGGCCGUGCCGGUGGAGGGCGGCAACUUCAUGGAGGACUUCUUCCAGGACGUGGAACAGAUCCGGGAGAUGAUCGACAAGAUCCAGGCGAACGUGGAGGAGGUGAAGAAAAAGCACAGUGCCAUCCUGUCGGCCCCACAGUCAGAUGAGAAAACUAAACAAGAGCUCGAAGACCUGAUGGCCGAUAUCAAAAAAACUGCCAACAGAGUAAGAGGGAAACUUAAGAGUAUCGAACAAAACAUUGAGCAGGAGGAGCAGACGAACAAGUCCAAUGCCGAUCUCCGGAUACGGAAGACACAGCACUCGGCGCUGUCGCGUAAGUUCGUCGAGGUGAUGACCGAGUACAAUCGGACCCAGACUGACUACCGAGAGCGGUGCAAAGGAAGAAUACAACGACAACUGGAAAUUACGGGUAGAGCGACGACAAAUGAAGAGCUGGAGGAGAUGCUGGAGCAGGGCAACUCGGCCGUCUUCACGCAGGGGAUUAUAAUGGAAACCCAACAAGCUAAACAAACGCUCGCCGAUAUCGAGGCACGGCAUGCAGAUAUUAUAAAAUUGGAGAAUUCAAUUAGGGAGCUACAUGAUAUGUUCAUGGAUAUGGCCAUGCUCGUCGAGAGUCAGGGUGAAAUGAUCGAUCGUAUAGAAUAUCAUGUUGAACACGCAAUGGAUUAUGUCCAAACAGCGACACAAGACACAAAGAAAGCGCUUAAAUAUCAAAGCAAAGCCCGCCGGAAGAAGAUCAUAAUCCUGAUAUGUGUGAGCAUCCUCUUGAUAGUGGUUGCGUCUACAGUUGCCGGAUAUGUCGGUUUUUAAAGAGCAUCGAUCGAAAACGAAAAACAACAUCAAGAACAACCGUCGUCGGCGACUAAUCAGUCAUGCCACACACACCCACAAACACAAAACACACGCAGACACACAUAGGUUACAACUUAUUACAAAAACACAAGCGACGAACCACGGUGGCUUUACUCCUAUUUCUCAGUCGCUUUCACGCGUGCGUGGUCCAUACAAUAUUGCUGUUUAACUAUCGACGACGGCUUGCAGAGUUUCUUUUUUAGCAGCAGCCAAAAUAUCUCUUGGAUUUCGUUUCGCCGAGGAAGCCAACGCAUUAUUUCGUACAAAUUCAUAACGCUGUUCACUCAGCGACAGCGAGUCAUCUCUGUUUGCUUCAUGACAUCAACACACACUCACACACACAGCUUAGACGAGAACGACACAUCGUCCGCAUCCGGAGGUGAAGACCGGUGGCCAUCGUGCGCGUCGCGUCGAGCACGAGCGUUGUUCUGUUUCACAGACAGUCAUUUUAGCCCGGCGAGGAAAAAAGGAAGAAAACAACCAAGACAACCACAAAUUUACGCUUGUUGAGUAAUUAUUAAGUUUGUUAGAUUUAGAUAGUUUUGGUGUCCUCGUUACGCAGGACGUGCGGAUUUAGUGCUGAGUUCGUUUUUUCGUUACGUAUUCUAGUCCAUAUUUCGGAUCGCCGCGCUCUCUGUAGGUUAAAACAAGGAACAAAGUUUUUUUUCUGCGUUUACUUUGUGUAAAUAUAACCACGUGUAAUUCUCUACUACUGGCUUUCGUUGAUCACUAGCCAAAAGCAUGGAAAACAUGGCGUUUGAAGAGUGUCUAUGUGGGCGGGUUGCGCUAAGCGAGCUAAUAUUUGUAGCUGAGUUCUGGAGUUAUUAGGCUAAAGUGUGGCAGUUUAUGCUUGCGGUAUCGAACUGUUUUACCGGUUAUUUGGAGCAGUGUGUUAGGCCAAUGGGAAAGUGCGGGCGGAUCAUAGCAAUAAAACUACAAGGAAAGGGUUGCCUCUUUGAUUUUCGUUCUUUCUGCUGCUAGAAUGAAUCUUGGAGGUACUUGCGCGCAAAGCAUUAGCAUACGCAAGGGAGAGAAACUGUACCGGCAAAUUACAGAACUAAAAUGUGUGCACUAAAAAUCUGAAAACAGAAAAAAACAUGACAACAAAACAACAUCAAACAGAAUAAGAACGAACGGCAGAAGCGGAAUGAAAAUCAUAAAAUGAACACUAAAAAGAGGAAAAUUAAAGAAGAAAAAAUGUUCAAGAAAAUGUGUGAUAAUAUUUAAAAGUAAUAAUCUCUAACAUUAAUUUGAGGAGAAAAUGGGAAAAAAUAUACAAGAAAGAAAAGCCUAUAGAUAUAUUACUAUUAUUCACGAAAAACAAAAAAAAAAUCAUAACAGAAUGUCAUAUUUAUAGCUCCUACAUAUAUAGGAAACGACACGGUGGCAGUGGAUCGUAGAACGGCACGAAUCUUUGGCGUGAAACCUUUUUGCACACACAUACACACAAUUCAAGACACACACACAUAAGGGUGAGGCUUUCUUGCCCGUUUCUACACUUCAAAACAGUAUUUGGUUUGUCACCUAUAAUUUGUAAUGUUCUUUUUGAAAAUUUCAAAAUGAGUGUAAAUUUUUUUACACACUUCUACAAAAAGAAAUUCAAACUAACUUUGCCCUAUAGAGGAGAAAAGCAACUCGCGACAAAAUUUUGAGGCUAGGAAUUUUGACAGGUAUGAUUUUCAUAAAGUAUUCGCCUCCUUUUCUCUCCCACAGAAAACCUGGGAACGAGGUAGCUGUCAAACUAGGCCAAAAUGUUAAAGUCACUCACAUAAUGAACUUUGAGUGAUUUGAGUUCAUUUCUGACGUCACGAUUUUCUCCUCUAUUACCGCCGGCGUGAAUCAUUAGAGUUCACUCGAGUUGGUCAGUCACAGAACAAAUUUUCGGUAGUCGUCUAAGUAUGCCUUGAUUUUUCAGAGAAUUUUCAAAACAAUCCAAGUUGACAGCUUAUUUUCACACCGCAGUUUUUCCGCGUCUUUAAUAAGCUCCUAUCAGUCUCAGGAUCAGGAUCUUUUGACUUGAAAAACUGGAAAAAAUGAUCAAAGCGUGGCUGAGGUUACUCGCUUGUUCUUUUCAGCUGUCACUCGCAAUUUUGAAGUGCGUAUGAUCAGUUUGGUGGAAAGUGCAACUGGAAGUGUAAACAAAAAACCUGGUUGCCUAGAUUCAAGGCAGAUAAGAUGAGGUAAGGCUGUCAACAAAAAGUUAGCACGAAAACCGGAUUUUAUAUGAAGAUUUUCAGAAAAGUGAAAAUUGAUAAUUUUGCGGACAAAAUUCACCGGAUUUGUGCAUAACAAAAUGUGGGCGAAAUCCAAGCUAAAAUGCCAGGAUCCUUGCUUGCAUCUCGUCAAUUUUUAUGGAAAUUGGAAAUCAAAAUUACUUUAAAUCGCGGAUUUCAUACAAUGUGUUAUUUCUGUAAAUUUUAUCUAUUUCUUUAAUUUGCUUACGAUUAAUUAACUUCGCACAAAAGCUUCGUGAAGUUUUCAAACAACAAACAAACAAAAAAUACCGUUCCCAACGAAAUACCGGGCAGAUACCGACUAGCUCAAAGAAGGUCACGGACAAUCGCGCCUACAUGGGAACGAACGACAUUCACUCACAACAAAUUUGACAACAAAAAUAAAACGUAAAAAAACCCGUGCAGUCACAGACGGCAUCACACACACUCACAUAAGAACACAUACACAAAAAAAAAACCAAAAACAUAACAUGAAUCGUACUAUACUGCCCAGAAAAUUAAACUUACGAAAGUGAGAUAUAAGAAUUUUACAAUUCUCGAUAAGAUUCUUCUUUAGUAGAGGAGAAGGACAACAGAAAAAGCAAAUAUUGUACACACUUUGCCCUGUUUAGUUUCUCUUUUUGCGAUGCUUUCCUGUAUUUGUUGAAAUUAACAACAACAACAACAACAAAAAACUCUUCAAGUUGUGCGCCUUUUCUCUUUUGUUCUCGCAGCAAUUGUUUGCGAAUAGAACACUAAUAUCAAGGCAAUUGUUUUUCGUAAAAGUCGCUCUUACUUUUUUUUCUACCAGCGAAGAAGUUUAACUACUCCGUCAGAUGUGGGACAUUUGUGGGUUUGUUUUUUUUUUUCGGUGUUUAAGUUUCGAUCCAAACAGGCAAAACGAACAACAGCAACAAACAAAAAAAACAAACAGUGUAAAUUGAGAUGUGAGCAUAAACUAAGUCAUAAGUAAAUAAUUAGUUAAAACUGUACUGUAUGAAUGGCAACCACAGCAAAAAGAAGAAGAAAUGGAAACCAACCUAGUGUAAUCAAAAAAAACUUUUUAACAUACACUGACAACUUAAUUAUCGCAUCUUUUGCAUUAUUGAUUGAUUCAUUGGUUGAGAAAAGGCGAUGAAAAGUUAUCAUCAUUAAACAGCAGCAGCAAGUGAAGUCUAUAUAUGUAGCAUUUAAUGAAAAUAAUAUCUAAAAGAAAUACAAAAAAGAACUAGCCUAUUAAUUUAAAAUAGUUAUUUAUCUCAAAAAAGUAAUAAAAAGGUGAAAAAUAACAAUUAAAAAAAAACUUAUAGCCGAAAACAAAAAACCUAGACAAUUAGAAAAGUCACGUAUAGAACAUCUAAAAGUCGCUAAGUAAAAAAAGAGCAAAAUUUGAAUAAGAGAAUGAGAAAUUGUAAUUCAAAACUUCUUCCUCUCGUGGACAGCGAACACACAAGAUAGAAUAUUACUUUGCGGAUAAGAUCAAAAACAAACAAAACAAAAGAAAGAGGGGAAAUCACACACACACACACACAAAAAGAAAACCAAUAAUAUCACGUCAUCUAGGAGAAAGAGACAAAAAACUAAGAAAAGCGCUCUGUUGUACAGUAAAAAUAUUUUUUCUCUAUAUUUCUCUAUAUCAGUUACUAAUAGUAAGGUUUAAAGACAAAAGUAUUUAAAUAAAAAAGAAAAAUAAUUAAGCUAUAAGAACGCCGGGAAGUGCAUAUACACAUGGGUAGAGUGGCGCGAAGCAAGGCCGAUUCCGGCAGCCGUGAACCCCCUUUACAAAACUAUACACAGUAGGAAAAAACAACAUGGUAAUGUUACAUCUUUUCCGUGUAAUUACUUUUUACAUUUUACAUGGUGAUAAAAUUACAUGGAAAUAGAGGUAAUAUUACAGCAUUAUUUUUAUGUACUGUGUACCCAAAGCCCUGACCAUCAAAGGGUCCCUAAACCAACAAGCAAUCGAAUCUGACAUUCUCCAUAUCUCUAUUAACCGACAAAAAGGUAAUACAAAAUACUGCUUUUAACCUCCCCCGUAAAGUUCGUUGAUUCGUUGCGAUUUUAAGCAUGCCUCCGGAAUCGAUCCUGCCUCGCAAAGGGUGUUUAGCAAGGACAACUGAGAGCGACAGCAAAAAAUAGCAAAUCGAUAUAAGCGCAGAAGCAGCAGCAGCAGCAUCAUUGUGAGAUAUUAAAAGCAAACCAAAAAAAAAAAACGACACGUGUUAAUUUUAAUUUUUCUCCCUAACCCUUUCUCUUGUAUUAGAUAAGGCAUUUUUUUUCUUGAAAUCUUGAUGUUGAUAACAAAAAAAAAACAAAUAUUACAAAUCGAAGGUAAACCAACGUUGCUAUUGGCAGGAAACGGGAGAAAAAAAGCGGCGGCGUUUGCGACAGAAGUAUAAGGCAAAAAAAAAAUAAACAAAUGUUUAGAGCAGGAUCGUGUAUAUUGUUACAUUUAAUCGUAAGUCCAUUUUGAAGUUACUGACAAGUUAAUGAAGAAUCUCUCUCAAAAUAGUGUUGAAAGAAUCGUAGGAAAAUCAUUCAUCUCUAUCUACACAAUGGGCGAAUACAAUAAAGAAAGCAAAACAAAAAAAAAACUACCAAUUUACCCUACCCUACAGUUUGCAAAACAACAACACGGUCACAACACUUCAACUCCGAAAGGACAUCACAGCUAACCAAGAAUGAAGAAUCACACCAACACAAUCACACAUAAACACAAAACAGCACAACAACACAUUCAAACAUUCACACACACCAACAGCAUAAGAGCAAGAGAUGAUGUAUCAACAAUACCCUAUAACAGUGGAAGCAAAAUAGCGACUAACGGAAAAAAAAAUCAAGAUGAAAAAUGGACAAUUGAAAAUUGGUUUUCAUGUUAUUUAAUAAAAAAAGAAACAAGUUAAUAAGAUUAAAGAAAACACAAGUGAUGGCUUUCAAAAUUAUAUAAAAGAAAAAUCUAAAAAAAUAAAUAAAAGUUAAUAAAAAGCUAACAAUUUUUCGCCUUUUGCAUUAAAAAAAAAAAUACACAUACACAAAGAAAAAGUGACACGCUAGCCAACAAAACCAGUGAUUAGGAAACAUUACAAUACUGUUACAAACAAAAAAACUCUUCUCUCUGUUUCUCUGAUGGCAAUAGGAAUCGAGAAACAUAGUGGACACAAUUUGGAAACUACUGCACUCGUAAUAAAAGAAAAUACACAAAGAAAAAAAACACACACAAACACACUUUUUCUUCUUGGUAGAAAAUCCCCGUCUCCUAGACAACAUCCACAGACAAAAAAACAUUCACUCACACCAGAUAACAACCACAACAAAAACAAAACUACCAAAAUGGUUCAUCCCAAAUCAUUCAUCAUCGUGCGCGCCAACUAUGAGCGACCCCACCGGGCACCUCUCGAAUACAACAACAACCUUGUUCCUUCUCUGGAAAUGAAAAUAUAAGGAAAACAAUUGCAAACUCUCUUCAGCUCUGAAAUGCUCCUCCCCUUUUUCGCGUGAGAAACAAAACAAUGCACACUCUUCACAAAACGCAAACCCUCCCUCCUCUUCUUCACGCAAACAACCAACAGCAAACAACAGCCAAACAAAAAAAAAAUCUCACAAACAAACACUCACACACACACGCGCGCGCGCAGAUAAAAGAACAAAGAACACAAACGAAGUGAGAGUAACCAACCGUGUGUAAAACUUGUCAAUUUUCGCAAAUAAUAAAAAAAGACAUCUACUGAAAGUCGAAGCAAAAUACAAUUAAAACUACAAAUAAAAAAGAAAUACAAAAGACAAAACAAACAACAAACAGCAACAACAGCGAACGUAACCUUCUUUCAAAGUAAACAAAAAACUCCGAGCUAGAGUUGUUUAGGAAAAUAACAAAAAUUCUCACAACUUCAAACAAAAUAGACAACCACCUUUGAGAGCAAACAACAAAAAGUCAAAAAGGGAGAGAACAAAAACAAAAACAAAAAAAAACUUUGCAUGCAAAAACUUGAAAACAGAACAUCAGACUACAGAAAAAAAGAAAAAUCACUCCAAGUAGCAAUAGACA